UACGUAGGGUGCACGCGUUAAUCGGAAUUCCUGGGCGUAAAGCGUGCGCAGGCGGUUUUGUAAGUCUGACGUGAAAUCCCCGGGCUCAACCUGGGAAUUGCGUUGGAGACUGCAAGGCUGGAGUCUGGCAGAGGGGGGUAGAAUUCCACGUGUAGCAGUGAAAUGCGUAGAUAUCGAGAGGAACACCUGCGGCGAAGGCGGGUUGCUGGGCUGACACUGACGCUGAGGCGCGAAAGCUAGGGGAGCGAACGGG
rnacentral:rRNA from 1 species